rnacentral:sRNA from 1 species
UACGGGACGGAGAAACGAAACGGACUUCCUUCCGGUUCCGGGACGCACGAUAAAAGUGAGACUUUCCGGCUAUUACGCAAGACUUCUGGGCGGAGUUUGUGGACGAUAGUACAUCCGGGUCACGAAUUCCAUUGACCGACUAGGCACACGCGCGUGCGAACUAUGGUUCCACACAUCUAUAGAUCUGCUCCUGACAGCACUUCAAAGAAGGCAACGAGCAUCAGUAGCUCCAUAUGGAGUUGCUUCGAUCAUGGCAAGCUAGCCAGUGGCAACGAAAAUGCCCAUGCUUCAACUGUAGACAAAUCUGUCCAGAAAGGACAAAUGGACACAGGGAAGUCGACCGCCAAGUUCUAUCAAGACAGG